rnacentral:rRNA from 1 species
CGGACGGGUGAGUAACACGUGAGAAUUUGCCUUUAGGAGGGGGAUAACAAUCGGAAACGAAUGCUAAUACCCCAUAUGCUUUUGAGUGAAAUGGAUUUAUCCGCCUAAAGAGAAGCUCGCGGCUGAUUAGCUUGUUGGUGAGGUAUGAGCUUACCAAGGCGACGAUCAGUAGCUGGUUUGAGAGGACGAUCAGACACACUGGAACUGAGACACGGUCCAGACUCCUACGGGAGGCAGCAGUGGGGAAUUUUCCGCAAUGGGCGAAAGCCUGACGGAGCAAUACCGCGUGAGGGAAGACUGCCUAUGGGUUGUAAACCUCUUUUUUCAGGGAGGAACAAAAUGACGUGUACCUGAAGAAUAAGCAUCGGCUAACUCCGUGCCAGCAGCCGCGGUAAGACGGAGGAUGCAAGUGUUAUCCGGAAUCACUGGGCGUAAAGCGUCUGUAGGUGGUUUAAUAAGUCAACUGUUAAAUCUUGAGGCUUAACUUCAAAAUCGCAGUCGAAACUAUUAGACUAGAGUAUAGUAGAGGUAAAGGGAAUUUCCAGUGGAGCGGUGAAAUGCGUAGAUAUUGGAAAGAACACCGAUGGCGAAAGCACUUUACUGGGCUAUUACUAACACUCAGAGACGAAAGCUAGGGUAGCAAAUGGGAUUAGAUACCCCAGUAGUC